rnacentral:rRNA from 1 species
CUCGUAGGUGGCCAACUAAGUCAUACGUGAAAUCCCUCGGCUUAACCGGGGAACUGCGUCUGAUACUGGAUGGCUUGAGUUUGGGAGAGGGAUGCGGAAUUCCAGGUGUAGCGGUGAAAUGCGUAGAUAUCUGGAGGAACACCGGUGGCGAAGGCGGCGUCCUGGACCAACACUGACACUGAGGAGCGAAAGCCAGGGGAGCAAACG